rnacentral:rRNA from 1 species
AUGAACGCUAGCUACAGGCUUAACACAUGCAAGUCGAGGGGCAGCAUGGUCUUAGCUUGCUAAGGCCGAUGGCGACCGGCGCACGGGUGAGUAACACGUAUCCAACCUGCCGUCUACUCUUGGACAGCCUUCUGAAAGGAAGAUUAAUACAAGAUGGCAUCAUGAGUCCACAUGUUCACAUGAUUAAAGGUAUUCCGGUAGACGAUGGGGAUGCGUUCCAUUAGAUAGUAGGCGGGGUAACGGCCCACCUAGUCUUCGAUGGAUAGGGGUUCUGAGAGGAAGGUCCCCCACAUUUGAACUGAGACACGGUCCAAACUCCUACGGGAGGCAGCAGUGAGGAAUAUUGGUCAAUGGGCGAGAGCCUGAACCAGCCAAGUAGCGUGAAGGAUGACUGCCCUAUGGGUUGUAAACUUCUUUUAUAAAGGAAUAAAGUCGGGUAUGCAUACCCGUUUGCAUGUACUUUAUGAAUAAGGAUCGGCUAACUCCGUGCCAGCAGCCGCGGUAAUACGGAGGAUCCGAGCGUUAUCCGGAUUUAUUGGGUUUAAAGGGAGCGUAGAUGGAUGUUUAAGUCAGUUGUGAAAGUUUGCGGCUCAACCGUAAAAUUGCAGUUGAUACUGGAUAUCUUGAGUGCAGUUGAGGCAGGCGGAAUUCGUGGUGUAGCGGUGAAAUGCUUAGAUAUCACGAAGAACUCCGAUUGCGAAGGCAGCCUGCUAAGCUGCAACUGACAUUGAGGCUCGAAAGUGUGGGUAUCAAACAGGAUUAGAUACCCUGGUAGUCCACACGGUAAACGAUGAAUACUCGCUGUUUGCGAUAUACAGCAAGCGGCCAAGCGAAAGCGUUAAGUAUUCCACCUGGGGAGUACGCCGGCAACGGUGAAACUCAAAGGAAUUGACGGGGGCCCGCACAAGCGGAGGAACAUGUGGUUUAAUUCGAUGAUACGCGAGGAACCUUACCCGGGCUUAAAUUGCAGAUGAAUUACGGUGAAAGCCGUAAGCCGCAAGGCAUCUGUGAAGGUGCUGCAUGGUUGUCGUCAGCUCGUGCCGUGAGGUGUCGGCUUAAGUGCCAUAACGAGCGCAACCCUUGUUGUCAGUUACUAACAGGUUCUGCUGAGGACUCUGACAAGACUGCCAUCGUAAGAUGUGAGGAAGGUGGGGAUGACGUCAAAUCAGCACGGCCCUUACGUCCGGGGCUACACACGUGUUACAAUGGGGGGUACAGAGGGCCGCUACCACGCGAGUGGAUGCCAAUCCCCAAAACCUCUCUCAGUUCGGACUGGAGUCUGCAACCCGACUCCACGAAGCUGGAUUCGCUAGUAAUCGCGCAUCAGCCACGGCGCGGUGAAUACGUUCCCGGGCCUUGUACACACCGCCCGUCAAGCCAUGGGAGCCGGGGGUACCUGAAGUGCGUAACCGCGAGGAGCGCCCUAGGGUAAAACUGGUGACUGGGGCU